UACAGAGGUCUCAAGCGUUGUUCGGAUUCAUUGGGCGUAAAGGGCGCGUAGGCGGCGGGGUAAGUCGGGUGUGAAAUCUCAGAGCUCAACUCUGAAAUGGCACUUGAUACUGCUCUGCUAGAGGACUGGAGAGGAGAUUGGAAUUCACGGUGUAGCAGUGAAAUGCGUAGAUAUCAGGAAGAACACCCGUGGCUAAGGCGGCUCUCUAGUACGGUACUGACGCUGAGACGCGAAAAGCGUGGGGGAGCGAACAGG
rnacentral:rRNA from 1 species